AAGCUCGUAGUUGAAUUUCGGGGUUCUACCGUUGGUCGGGCUUUGUCUGUACUGGCGUGUAGAAUUUCUACCUUCUGGGGAACCAUUAUGUUAUUAAUUUAGCGUGGUGGGAAACCAGGACCUUUACCUUGAAAAAAUUAGAGUGUUCAAAGCAGGCUUAUGUCUGAAUACAUUAGCAUGGAAUAAUAGAAUAGGACGGUGGUCCUGUUUUGUUGGUUUCUGAAUCACCGUAAUGAUUAAUAGGGAUAGUUGGG
rnacentral:rRNA from 1 species